rnacentral:rRNA from 1 species
CGCGUAGGCGGCCACCGCAAGUCAACUGUGAAAUCUCCGGGCUUAACCCGGAAAGGUCAGCCGAUACUGCGGGGCUAGAGUGCAGAAGGGGCAACUGGAAUUCUCGGUGUAGCGGUGAAAUGCGUAGAUAUCGAGAGGAACACCUGCGGCGAAGGCGGGUUGCUGGGCUGACACUGACGCUGAGGCGAGAAAGCGUAGGGGGAGACGGAACG